AUACAUGCAAGUCGAGCGAGGGUCUUCGGACCCUAGCGGCGGACGGGUGAGUAACACGUAGGCAACCUGCCUGUAAGACUGGGAUAACAUAGGGAAACUUAUGCUAAUACCGGAUAGGGUUUUGCUUCGCCUGAAGCGAAACGGAAAGAUGGCGCAAGCUAUCACUUGCAGAUGGGCCUGCGGCGCAUUAGCUAGUUGGUGAGGUAACGGCUCACCAAGGCGACGAUGCGUAGCCGACCUGAGAGGGUGACCGGCCACACUGGGACUGAGACACGGCCCAGACUCCUACGGGAGGCAGCAGUAGGGAAUUUUCCACAAUGGACGAAAGUCUGAUGGAGCAACGCCGCGUGAACGAUGAAGGCUUUCGGGUCGUAAAGUUCUGUUGUUAGGGAAGAAACAGUGCUAUUUAAAUAAGGUAGCACCUUGACGGUACCUAACGAGAAAGCCACGGCUAACUACGUGCCAGCAGCCGCGGUAAUACGUAGGUGGCAAGCGUUGUCCGGAAUUAUUGGGCGUAAAGCGCGCGCAGGUGGCUAUGUAAGUCUGAUGUUAAAGCCCGAGGCUCAACCUCGGUUCGCAUUGGAAACUGUGUAGCUUGAGUGCAGGAGAGGAAAGUGGUAUUCCACGUGUAGCGGUGAAAUGCGUAGAGAUGUGGAGGAACACCAGUGGCGAAGGCGACUUUCUGGCCUGUGUCUGACACUCAGGCGCGCAAGCGUGGGGAGCACUAAGGAGUAAAUACGCCGCUAGUGCACGUCGUAUUCCAUCAGUGCUAUGUGUUAUGGGUUGCUAUAC
rnacentral:rRNA from 1 species